rnacentral:rRNA from 1 species
CCUACGGGAGGCAGCAGUGAGGAAUAUUGCUCAAUGGGGGUAACCCUGAUGCAGCGACGCCGCGUGAGUGAAGAAGUAAUUCUGUUUGUCAAACUCUAUCUACAGGGGAGAAAAUGACGGUACCUGAGGAAGUAUCCACGUCUAACUUCGUGCAAGCUGCGGCGGUACUGCGUCGGGGGCCAGCGUUAUCCGGAUUUACUGGGUGUAAAGGGAGCGUAGGCGGCAUUGCAAGUCUGGGGUGAAAGGCUGGGGCUCAACCAGAGGACUGCUGUGGAAACUGGACGGCUUGAGUGCAGGAGAGGUAAGUGGAAUUCGUGGUGUAGCGGUGAAAUGCGUAGAUAUCAGGAGGAACACCAGUUGCGAAGGCGGCUUACUGGACUGUAACUGACGCUGAGGCUCGAAAGCGUGGGGAGCAAACAGGAUUAGAUACCCCUGUAGUC